rnacentral:tRNA from 1 species
GCCGCCGUAGCUCAGCCUGGGAGAGCGCCCGGCUGAAGACCGGGGUGCCGAGUGUUCAAAUCACUCCGGCGGCACCA